AGAGCGAACGCUGGCGGCAGGCCUAACACAUGCAAGUCGGGCGCCCGUAGCAAUACGGGAGCGGCAGACGGGAUAGUAACACGUGGGAACGCGCCCUUCGGUUCGGAAUAACUCAGGGAAACUUGAGCUAAUACCGGAUACGCCCUUACGGGGAAAGAUUUAUUGCCGAAGGAACGGCCCGCGUCCGAUUAGCUAGUUGGUGAGGUAAUGGCUCACCAAGGCGACGAUCGGUAGCUGGUCUGAGAGGAUGACCAGCAUCACUGGGACUGAGACACGGCCCAGACUCCUACGGGAGGCAGCAGUGGGGAAUAUUGGACAAUGGGCGCAAGCCUGAUCCAGCCAUGCCGCGUGGAUGAUGAAGGCCUUAGGGUUGUAAAGUCCUUUUAACGGGGAAGAUAAUGACGGUACCCGUAGAAUAAGCCCCGGCUAACUUCGUGCCAGCAGCCGC
rnacentral:rRNA from 1 species